rnacentral:rRNA from 1 species
GAAACUGGGUCUAAUACCGGAUAUGACCAUCUGACGCAUGUCAUGGUGGUGGAAAGCUUUUGUGGUUUUGGAUGGACUCGCGGCCUAUCAGCUUGUUGGUGGGGUAAUGGCCUACCAAGGCGACGACGGGUAGCCGGCCUGAGAGGGUGACCGGCCACACUGGGACUGAGACACGGCCCAGACUCCUACGGGAGGCAGCAGUGGGGAAUAUUGCACAAUGGGCGGAAGCCUGAUGCAGCGACGCCGCGUGAGGGAUGACGGCCUUCGGGUUGUAAACCUCUUUCAGUAGGGAAGAAGCGAAAGUGACGGUACCUGCAGAAGAAGCGCCGGCUAACUACGUGCCAGCAGCCGCGGUAAUACGUAGGGCGCAAGCGUUAUCCGGAAUUAUUGGGCGUAAAGAGCUCGUAGGCGGUUUGUCGCGUCUGCUGUGAAAGACCGGGGCUCAACUCCGGUUCUGCAGUGGGUACGGGCAGACUAGAGUGCAGUAGGGGAGACUGGAAUUCCUGGUGUAGCGGUGAAAUGCGCAGAUAUCAGGAGGAACACCGAUGGCAAAGGCAGGUCUCUGGGCUGUAACUGACGCUGACGAUCGAAAGCAUGGGGAGCGAACAGGAUUACAUACCCUGGUAGUCCAUGCCGUAAACGUUGGGCACUAGGUGUGGGGGACAUUCCACGUUUUCCGCGCCGUAGCUAACGCAUUAAGUGCCCCGCCUGGGGAGUACGGCCGCAAGGCUAAAACUCAAAGGAAUUGACGGGGGCCCGCACAAGCGGCGGAGCAUGCGGAUUAAUUCGAUGCAACGCGAAGAACCUUACCAAGGCUUGACAUGAACCGGAAAGACCUGGAAACAGGUGCCCCGCUUGCGGUCGGUUUACAGGUGGUGCAUGGUUGUCGUCAGCUCGUGUCGUGAGAUGUUGGGUUAAGUCCCGCAACGAGCGCAACCCUCGUUCUAUGUUGCCAGCGCGUUAUGGCGGGGACUCAUAGGAGACUGCCGGGGUCAACUCGGAGGAAGGUGGGGACGACGUCAAAUCAUCAUGCCCCUUAUGUCUUGGGCUUCACGCAUGCUACAAUGGCCGGUACAAAGGGUUGCGAUACUGUGAGGUGGAGCUAAUCCCAAAAAGCCGGUCUCAGUUCGGAUUGGGGUCUGCAACUCGACCCCAUGAAGUCGGAGUCGCUAGUAAUCGCAGAUCAGCAACGCUGCGGUGAAUACGUUCCCGGGCCUUGUACACACCGCCCGUCAAGUCACGAAAGUUGGUAAC